AACGAACGCUGGCGGCAUGCCUAACACAUGCAAGUCGAACGAGACCUUCGGGUCUAGUGGCGCACGGGUGCGUAACGCGUGGGAACCUGCCCUUAGGUUCGGAAUAACUCCCCGAAAGGGGUGCUAAUACCGGAUAAUGUCUUCUGACCAAAGAUUUAUCGCCUUUGGAUGGGCCCGCGUUGGAUUAGCUGGUUGGUAGGGUAAAAGCCUACCAAGGCGAGGAUCCAUAGCUGGUCUGAGAGGAAGAUCAGCCACACUGGGACUGGGACACGGCCCAGACUAUUACGGGAUGGGGCAGAGGGGGAUCUAGGAAUAUCGGGGGGAGGAAGAAGGAGCACUGGUGGUUGAGUGCUGAAGUCGUGAAGGAAGAAAAGCUCUUUUACCCGGGAUGAUACUGACGGUACCGGAAGAAUAAGCACCGGCUAACUUCGUG
rnacentral:rRNA from 1 species